rnacentral:tRNA from 1 species
UUCUUACUCCAUGUGGAGAUUUUUAGGAUACUCGGCUCUCACCCGAGAGACCCGGGUUCAAGUCCCGGCAACGGAAA